CCUACGGGAGGCAGCAGUGGGGAAUAUUGCACAAUGGGGGAAACCCUGAUGCAGCGACGCCGCGUGAGUGAAGAAGGAUUUCGGUAUGUAAAGCUCUAUCAGCAGGAACGAGACAAGACGGUACCUUACUAAUAAGCCCCGGCUAACUACGUGCCAGCAGCCGCGGUAAUACGUGGGGGGCAAGCGUGAUCCGGAAUCACUGGGUGUAAAGGGAGCGUAGGCGGCUGAUCAAGCCUGAAGUGAAAGGCACGGGCGCAACCCCUGGACUGCUUUUGGGACUGUACGGCUAGAGUGCUGGAGAGGGAAGUGGAAUUCCUAGUGUAGCGGUGAAAUGCGUAGAGAUGAGGAGGAACACCAGUGGCGAAGGCGGCUUACUGGACUGUAACUGACGUUGAGGCUCGAAAGCGUGGGGAGCAAACAGGAUUAGAUACCCGGGUAGUC
rnacentral:rRNA from 1 species